UCUGGUUUCUCUUCAGAUCAUAUAAAUCUUUUGCCUUUUACUAAAGAUUUCCAUGGAGAGGAACAACUCUGA
ensembl:snRNA U5 U5 spliceosomal RNA